rnacentral:rRNA from 1 species
UACGGGGGGGGCAAGCGUUGUUCGGAAUUACUGGGCGUAAAGGGUGCGUAGGCGGUCGGGUAAGUCUGAUGUGAAAUCUCACAGCUUAACUGUGAAACUGCAUUGGAUACUAUUCGGCUUGAGAGUUGGAGGGGGGACUGGAAUUCCUGGUGUAGCAGUGAAAUGCGUAGAUAUCAAGAGGAACACCAGUGGCGAAGGCGAGUCCCUGGACAACUUCUGACGCUGAGGCACGAAAGCUAGGGGAGCAAACAGG